rnacentral:rRNA from 1 species
AGUGAACGAGGGAGGGAGGCAGAACACAUGCAAGUCAAACGGCAGCACAGUAAGAGCUUGCUCUUACGGGUGGCGAGUGGCGGACGGGUGAGGAAUACAUCGGAAUCUACUUUUUCGUGGGGGAUAACGUAGGGAAACUUACGCUAAUACCGCAUACGACCUACGGGUGAAAGCAGGGGAUCUUCGGACCUUGCGCGAUUGAAUGAGCCGAUGUCGGAUUAGCUAGUUGGCGGGGUAAAGGCCCACCAAGGCGACGAUCCGUAGCUGGUCUGAGAGGAUGAUCAGCCACACUGGAACUGAGACACGGUCCAGACUCCUACGGGAGGCAGCAGUGGGGAAUAUUGGACAAUGGGCGCAAGCCUGAUCCAGCCAUACCGCGUGGGUGAAGAAGGCCUUCGGGUUGUAAAGCCCUUUUGUUGGGAAAGAAAAGCAGCAGGUUAAUACCCCGCUGUUCUGACGGUACCCAAAGAAUAAGCACCGGCUAACUUCGUG